rnacentral:lncRNA from 11 species
UACUAUGAGUGAGGUCAUGAUGCGGACAUUGUGUGUUUAUGUGUGUAUAGAAUUUUAGAGACAAUGUGGCUUACAAACUAAGGUUGGAAAACUACGCUCCGACGUUUGUUUCUGAAAAAACAUCGUUUUUAUUGGACGUUUGUUCUGACGACCCUCUAGCACUAGAGGCAUGCUACCCUUUUGCUAUAUCAAUUUUUUUAGUUAUAGUUCUCUCCUAAAUUCGUUCGAAACUUCUUGAGUGUAGUGCAUUUUGCUGCCGCUUCCGUCGAAGGAGCUGGAUUGGUUUAUCUACGGACGGGUUCUUGUUCACGUUGCGGAACCGUAGCAGUUUAUGUCAAGCGAUACGUUUCGAGGUGACAACGUUGUGCUACGAACGGCUAUGCCUCGCAAAGUUUCGCCCGGAUGGCCUGCGGCUGCCAGUUUCAUACGUCUAAUUCUGUUCCUGUUCAUUUAUUUGGAAAGCUCUGACAGCAAAGAGUGCCACCUCUCACGCAAUGUAAAGAACGUCGUUCAUGUCGAUCUACCAUGGGAGGUCAACGUUCAGACCGGGCGCUGGGUUAAGAUAUACUGUCGCUUGGUAUCGAGGAAGGUUUUAGGCAAGGAUAACAAUACCUUCCCGGUGAGUUCAUCAAAUCUUCGCUUCAAACGGUUGGACCGUUCAGAUCCAUAUUUGGAUGUGAGCAGUCCAUUGGUCACCAGAAUGGACGACAAUACCAUCUUGUACAGAAAGCCGAACGCAAGUUCCGACGACGAUGGCCCCUACGCGUGUGCCGUUGAUGUGGAAGGCGUGAAAUACCCUGGCUGUAUCACUACCGUUAGAAUACGCACAAAAAAAACUGACAAAACAAUGGGCAAGGCGAGAGCCAGCAUGCGUCAAUAAAAGACGUAUCCGAUGGGUUAGAGAUACUGAAGUCCGCUGGCCGGAGGCCCUUUUCAUCGACUGACAUUGCGAUAAUGUCAAUAUAUAACGGGGUUCUGAAAUUGUUUGAUCUUUAAGUUAAUGUAAAUAUUGAGUAAAAAUCUGUUUAUAGCGUUAAAGCACUGCAGCACGAUAAACAUCGAAUGUACAAUAAGCUUUUAUAGCAAAGUCACGCAAAACGGCGAUAGGAGAUAUCUUGCGCUACGUUUACUAGAGCAAAGCGAGACUACGUCGAACGAUUUUUGCCGUUGCAAAUCGCACCGAACCAAGAGAUGUAUACAAUGUGCGACAUUACAUAGAAACCGAAAUUACCAAUUUACGAUGAAAAUGUUCGAUUCUGCCCUGUUCGUCGCUUUUUUUUUGAGACUUACAGGGAAACUACGGAACCUAUGAUGCACCCUGUCAAAGAAAAGUUCAACACAGAAUAUCAAAUAAACUUAAACUUGCAAUGA